AUGCCAAAGCAGAGCCAGAAGCCUCCCGCUCCCCUUUCCUCCCCUUGGCUCAGUCACCUCUGUUCUGCUCAGCUUGGCCUGGGAGGAGGAGGAGGAGGCGUAUCUGAGGUGCUGAUCCAGCUCCUGCCCCAGUGCAGCCCUAGCACCCCGUGUCUCUUUGCUGCAGGGUGUGGGGACACAGAGUAUGGGGACCUCGAGGAUGAAGGUAAGACCCUGAUGCCAUGGUCCCAGCAUGGCUGUGGCCCCAGCUGCCGCAGCAUCCUGACAGCCAUGGGCUCUGCUGCCCUUGCGCAGUCCCGCAGGUCCCGCUGGCACUGGCAGCACUGUCUCUCCUUCCAGGUUACUACGUGUACCUGGAUGAGGACGACGGGUCUGCAAUGGACAGAGCUGGGAGUGUUCCCGAUGGGUGACCCCAAACAUCCCCCUCAAAACCAAAACUGGGGGGAAAGGCGAGGGGGGCAUCCCAGGGUCUGUCCCGUGCUCCGCAGAACUGCCGGAGGUGCUGGGGGGGGCAGCCCGCUGCCAGGACACCUACCAGGACUGGAUCUCCCUCUACUGCUGGGCUCCCUUCCAUGCCACCCUCAUGACCACCCCUGAGGGCAGCCGCUGCCGCUGGGACCAGAUCAGCAGUCCCUACAGUGAGCUCUCCCGCUGCACCCAGCUGCUGGCCCAGCUCCUCUCCUGCCCUUGGCCCAGCUCUGUCCUCGACACCUUCUUCCUGCAGGUUCAUGCUGAAUACUUCACCAACUGCACAGGGGCUGAGCCCCCCCCAACCGAGUGUGAUGCCCCCCUGGCUGGCUCUGGCUGUGGCCAUGGGGCUCAGCUGCCUCGUGCCCCUCGCAGCAGCCGUCGUGCUCAGCAGAGCCCCAAAAGGGGCUCACACGCCAGCCCCUGCCUGCCCCAUGCCUGCGAGGAGCCUGCAGCUGCUCUCUUCCUUCCCAGCCCUGGGAACUGAGGGGUGGGCAGGGGGUGCAGGGGACAGGGCAGAGCAGUGAUGGGGGACUGAGCAUCCCUGGGAAUGGAGUGGGUCCCCUGGCACUGGGGAGGGCGAGGCCUGGGGCUCUGGAUGCCUGCAUCUGCCCCAAAGCAGGGGAGAGUCAGGAGAAGGGAACUGGAGUCCUGACCCUGCAUGAGAUGAGCCCUUUCCCCAGCUGGCAUGGAGCGAUGGGGAUGCCAGGCUGCGGAUGAGGGAGCCCCAAACUUUGGCUGGCAGCCACUGUCCUGUCCCUGCCCAUCGUAUCCCUGCCCAUCCCCUCUGGACACCUCAGGAGCAGGGCAGCCGUCCCAGCCCUGGGGCUGUGCUGAGAUCAUUGGGUGUCUCCCUGGCAGAGGCUCCUGCCGCCCAGCCGGAGGCUUCACUGGCUCCAACCAAGAGCGGGACCAGGGGGCUCCAACCCUGCAGCCCCCGGGACGC
rnacentral:lncRNA from 1 species